rnacentral:rRNA from 1 species
UGAGGAAUAUUGGUCAAUGGACGCAAGUCUGAACCAGCCAAGUAGCGUGCAGGAUGACGGCCCUAUGGGUUGUAAACUGCUUUUAUAUGGGGAUAAAGUGGGGAACGUGUUCCCUUUUGCAGGUACCAUAUGAAUAAGGACCGGCUAAUUCCGUGCCAGCAGCCGCGGUAAUACGGAAGGUUCGGGCGUUAUCCGGAUUUAUUGGGUUUAAAGGGAGCGUAGGCCGUUUGGUAAGCGUGUUGUGAAAUGUAGGAGCUCAACUUCUAGAUUGCAGCGCGAACGGUCAGACUUGAGUGCGCACAACGUAGGCGGAAUUCAUGGUGUAGCGGUGAAAUGCUUAGAUAUCAUGAAGAACUCCGAUUGCGAAGGCAGCUUACGGGAGCGCAACUGACGCUGAAGCUCGAAGGUGCGGGUAUCGAACAGG